ensembl:snRNA U6 U6 spliceosomal RNA
GUGCUCUCUUUGGCAGCACAUAUACUAAAAUUGGAAUGAUACAGAGAAGACUUGUAUGGCCCCACACAAGGAUGACACGCAAAUUCAUGAAGUGUUAUUCCUCAAA